rnacentral:lncRNA from 1 species
GCAGCGCCCUGCGCUCAGGCCGCGGCCGAAGCUGCCGCCUCGCUCCCCGGAGUCGCACCUUGCUGGACUGGAGCUCGCAAACCCCCAGCUGCUCCCCGCACCUCGGGAGCCGCAGCGCCCAACACCCUACGGGCCCGAAGGUGGCGCCCAAGAAGUGAACCAGAAGGGAAGAGCGAAGCACGGAGGCUUUAAUGGCAGAGGGCCCGGUGGCGGGGAAGGGAGGCAGGCGCGGGCCCCGUGGGCCUCGGGUCACAGCGUGUGGAGGUCAUGACUGCGACGGCUCAGCUUCUCCGGGUCGUCUGACGCCAUGAGGGAGAAGUCGCGGAAGAUGUCAAGAUACGUCUCAUCUCCUGGGGGAGGGAGGAAAGGCCGGGAGGCGGCUGGGCCCCAGUGCAGAAGGGCAGGAUCCGGCGGUUGGGGCCCACCUGGGGACCUCGCGCUCCGAGCCUGGGUGGGAACGUGCGCGCCGCGGGCACUGCGCCAGCACCUAUGCCUUGCCAGGGCCUGGCACGUCGCAUGCGCCCAAUACGCAUUUGUUAAAUAACGGAAUGAAUGCAGCUGGGCACUAGGGAGAGAGGUCACCGUGGACCAGAAGCCCAGAGUUCAGGUGUUGGGCCUGGGGGGUGGGGUGGGUGUAUUCUUUACCUGCCUGCCCCUGGGCCGCUUCAGCCUCCCUCAUCUUUGCCAGUCGUAGCCUGAAGAGGAGGGAAUUAAGAAAUGAACGACACUAUCUUUGGCCGGGCGCGGUGGCUCACGCCUGUAAUCCCAACACUUUGGGAGGCCGAGGCAGGCGGAUCACGAGGUCAGGAGAUCGAGACCGUCCUGGCCAACAUGGUGAAACCCCGUCUCUACUAAAAAUACAAAAAAUUAGCCGGGGGUGGUGGCGCACGCCUGUAGUCCCAGCUACUCAGGGGAGGCUGAGACAGGAGAAUCGCUUGAACCCGGGAGGCGGGGGUUGCAGUGAGCCGAGAUCGCGCCCCUGCACUCUAGCCUGGGCGACAGAGUGAGACUCCGUCUCAAAAAAAAAAAAAAAGACUAUCCUCACCUCCCCCACAACUUCCCAUCCUUUGAGCUGGGUUGCGUUCCGUUCAUCUGCCCCCACCCCCGGGGUCACGUCUAGUGCUAAAAAGAUGCCUGACAGCAAUGUUGAUGGGCGAAUUACGCCUCUCAGGGUGGGCCAAGCAUCCUUGCACCCUGCCCGCCCUCCCGCCUGCCUUCUACUCCACGUCCCAGUGCACACUUCGCGCAGCCUUUCUCGAGCCUGGCCCCGGCGCUGGCCCAGCCCCUUUCCGAGGCCCCACAGCACAGGCUUCUGUUUCGGCGUCAGCCCCGCCCGCCCGCCCGAACGUGGGUGGGCGGGGGUGGGGGGAGUCCCAGCGCCAGCCCCGCCCCUUCAGGCAUUCUUACAGGGUGACGAUGUCAGCGUUGGCUGUUUCCAUGGCGAUGGUCAGAGGGUCCCUGCCUUCAGAGUCUCGAGCCCCCAGAUCAGCUCCCCGUUUCAGGAACAGGCAGGCGAGCCUGGAGAGAAGAGCCAGGGUCAGCCGGCCGCCCAACUUCUCCCAGCCUUCCUCCCCAUGCCAUCAUCCCUACCCCGUGUGGCCAAGAAUGGUUGCGUGGUGCAGCGGGCCCCGGCCCGCACUGUCCGCUUGGUUCACGUUCGCCCCGUUCUGGAGGAGAAACUCACAGGCCAGAAGAGAAUUCUGCAUGGAGAAGUCGAGAAGGGGGGUUGAGGGUGGCAUCCCUAGUGGUGGAUUUCAAGAUGUCUUAGGGUGGCGCCAGUUCAGAGAAUGGGAGGGUGGAGUGUGGUAAUCAGGAGUGUGGAAGGGGUUACAGCUAACUGUAACCAAGCUAGGCUUGGCUCUAGCUCUUUGCAUGUAUUCAUAUAUAAAUCCAUAGUACAAGCUUUUGAGGUAUGUUACUAUUUUACAGAUGAGGCUGAGAGGUUAAUAACUUGUUAAAAGUCUCCUGUAGGCCGGGCACAGUGGCUCACGCCAGUAAUCCCAGCACUUUGGGAGGCCGAGGCGGGUGGAUCACAAGGUCAGGAGAUCCAGACCAUCCUGGCUAACACGGUGAAACCCUAUCUCUACUAACAAUACAAAAAAUUAGCCGGGCAUGCUGGCUGGCGCCUGUAGUCCCAGCUACUCAGGCAGCUGAGGCAGGAGAAUGGUGUGAACCCGGGAGGCGGAGCUUGCAGUGAGCCGAGAUCGCACCAUUGCACUCCAGCCUGGGGGACAGAGCGAGACUGUCUCAAAAAAAAAAAAAAAAGUCUCCUGUAAGAGGUGAGAGCCUGGGUUCAAACUCAGGUUCUCUGCCUCCAAAUCACACACUCUUAGCAACCAGUCUCUAUUGUUGAUCUCUCCCUAUGGGUGGAAGCCCUAGGGAACAGGUGGUGGGGAAAGGAGGUAAGGGCAGGGCCCAGAGUCAGGAGUAGGUGUCAGAGCCCUAGGGUGGGGUGGAGAGGUCAGCAGGGCUCUUACAGCAGCUGUGGCCUGGAUCAGCGGUGUGGCAUUAUCUUGGCCCCCAUUGACCCAGUUGACAUCAGCUCCAUGGGCAAGGGCAUCAGCCAUGGUGGGAAGAGAUGGAGGAUGCCCAGACGCUCGAAACAGUAGGGCCCCAGGGUGCAGGCUUCCCAGGUCCUCAGAGGGGGGCUCUGUUCGGGGGAUUUGGUUCUGUUAGGGGGAAGCAGCUCCGAGUCUGGGAAGAAAACCCUCAGCAGUGUCCCAAUGCUAUAAUGGGACAGGUCUCUUCUAAAUGAUGGGGAGCUUGGGACUGUGGAGGGAAUAGAGUGAUGCAAGUGUGGGUAUGUGUAAGUAUGCGUAUGCAUGUGUACGAGUCCCUAGGGUGUGGGGGAGAGACGGCAUCAUCACCUCAUCUGGUCCAACCACACUUGGCCUCAGCUCUCAACCCCUGACGCUCCAGCCAAACCCACCCCCUCUCUCUCUCCUUUUCUUGUGCUGUUGGCACCCCUUACCCUCCCUGCCCACGCCCAGCCCCACAUUCCUUCUCAUUCUUAAUGUCACACUCCACCGUAACCCCUGAAACGGCAGUCCGGUCCCUCCGACAUUGUCCAGCGGAAGGCCUGGGCUUCACACUCUGUGCCUCCCGGCGCUACCUGGCACGAUGCCGAGCACACAGCAGAUGCUCAAUGAAUGCCCAACCAACCCUAUACCUGGCUUGGAUCUCAAGCUCCCUGGCCGGGGCCUGAUGGAAGGCUUUGGGGGCACAGGAGGCUGCCCCCUUGGGCGCCCCCGGCCACCUCUUCGCCCUCGAAUCUCAGGCAGCUUGGUCAGGAACUUCUUCUCCACGUAUUUAGCGUGAAUCCAGGCCUCCUUCUCCUGCCUGUGGGAGGGGAGAAGCACGCAGUCUUCCCUCUUCUGCUCCAGGGGUCCCCCAUUCCCCUGGGAGGCUAAACCCCAAGCUCACCGGGAGCAGCUGGGCCCUGGUUUCUUCACUGCCAUGGCCUCCACGCGGGCCUCAUAGAUCUGGUUGAUGAUGACAUUUCCCAGCUCACACAUGAGCUUCAGGAGGCCCAGGCAGAGGCAGAGACAGGGAAGGUGGGGGUGAGUGACUCCUCAGGGAUCACGCCCCUGCACCGCCAUGUCCUUGCCCCACCCCAAGUUCUUGCCCCCAAUCUUCACAAUACGCUAAGUUACCUUCACUAGUUCUGGCUCCCAUGAGUCAAGGGUCAGAGACCGGACUUUGGAGAAGUGAACACCAAGGCUCCUGGAGGGCCAGAGGGGGAGGGUCAGGCCCUGUGCAGGGGGGCAGUGGCCUGGGGAGCUGCUGCUGCUCCUGAAGACACUGGGAGGCAAGGCUGGCAUGGGGGCCCGUGCAGAGGUGCUGGCCCAGGAGGCAGGGCAGCUGCGGCCAUGUAACCGCCAUGUAGCCUUGACCUGGCCCUGGCAGGACUCUGCCUCGUCACCAUUCCUUCUUCCUUAGGUUUCAUUUCAAGGCCCUCAUCACUCCAGCCACCUCCCUUCUCUAGUGACACUUGUGACACUUUGGCCUGGACAACCUCUCCCAUGUCACCUCCCUUCCACCACACUGAGGUGGGGGGCGAGGGCCUUAGAUACUUGCUAAGGCCUCAUGACCGUUUCUCUGCCUAGUCUUCACUGGCUCCCCCACCCUCAGCAGCCUUGACCCCACACUUCUUCCAACCAAGCCAACAAAUUCUGGGUAUCCCCCAAUUCUGGCCAGACUAGGACACAGAGGGGCUAGGCCCGCCUGGGUCCAACUGGCACCCCAGAGGCUUGGGCCCAGGCCUGGUACCCAGUGACAAAGCCAGAAGCUAAGAGAGGAAGCCAGGACAGGGAAGGAAGAGGGGCCGGUGUGAUGCGCUCUGUAUUGGAGCCGCACUGUGGCCCGAAGGAGUGGGGCUCCCGCAUGGGCCUUGUGGAGUAACCUGUGGAUGCCGGAACACUGAAUGCAGAGGGUGACACCAAGGUUGAUGCUGGCCCACUCCGGGGCUGGCUCCCGGCAGUCGCAGCACUGGGCAUUGCCAUCCACACUCUGGACCUGGGCCACCACGUGCCCGACUCCCCCAGGCUCCCUUCCCCUGGCCAUUCCACCAGAGCCCAGGGUGGCAGCAGAGCCUAUGGCCAGGUGUCCUGAGCCCUGGGGGAGAGAGGGGAAGAAAGGGUGGCCAAGGGGCCUAGGGUAAAGGGUGCCCCAUCUCCACAGGCAGCCUGGCUCCGCACCCCCAGGUUAAGGUACCUGGCCUGGACCCCGGGGGCUGUCAUCAAGGCGAGCCUGACUGAAGGCAGAAGCAAUGCUGCUCUGCACAGCACUGACCCACAGCUGCAGGAGGCGCUCUGAGUCAGCCUGGAGGAGGCAGGACCUAGGUAGGAGGGUGAGGGAGAUGGCAGAGGGGUCUGAGGCCUGGGAAGCAAAGUGGCAGCAUGGGCAGACUGACAUUCAGCCAGUAUUCAACCAGUUCCAGUUGCAUUGAAAGACUUCUGUACCAGUUGGUAAUAUUCUCCUAAAUAUCCCCCAUCACCCUGUACCCUCUUCCACAAUGGCCCCCCAGUCCAGCCGCCAAAGAAUUAAAUUAAAGUCUGGAGCUGCAUGGGGGGCCUCCAUUGUGGUGGGCCCUGCCUUUCAGAUUGGCAGUUGUUUAGAUAUAUUAGAGUAUCACCCCUGGGGAUUGCACUCACUUGCUGGUGGACACCACCUCAAAGCAGAACCGCCUUUCUGAGUCAGGGCAGAGUUUCACUGUGCAGAGACGAAGGUCAUCCACCACCACAGUCACAGGGUCCUGGCAGGAUAAGGUGAUAAGGGGCCAGAUGUCCAGCUGCAGGCAAGAGCUGAGUCUCCCUGGGGCCCAGGCAUCCAGGACCCAGGUCCACUCACCUUGUACUUCUUCUGGUAAACCAGUUGGUUGCUCUGAAUGGUGAACCAGCGUCUGUAAGAGAAGGAAAUCAUUACAGACAUAGGCAGCUUUAGGAUGAGGGACGGAAGAGAGGCUGUGCUUUUUGCCCAUGAGGAUCUUACUGAGAGGACAGACACCUGGGCUGACUGUUCCACGAGACAUUCCAGAGAAGGGUGGACAAUUGUGCAGAUUGGAACAUCUAAAGGAUGCUAUUCCUAUCUUGGACAACCCAGAUUUCAUAUAGUUAUGAAGACAACUUUCCAGCAGAUGGCAGUAAAAUUCUUUUUCUAAUAAAAUGUCUAUUGCUACAAUUUAAAAAAUACUAUUUAGGCUGGGCUCACACCUGUAAUCCCAGCACUUUGGGAGGCUGAUGGGGGUGGUGGAUCACCCGAGGUCAGGAGUUUGAGACCACCCUGACCAAUAUGGUGAAACUCCGUCUCUACUAAAAAUACAAAAAUUAGCCAGGCGUGGUGGCAGGCGGCUAUAAUCCCACCUACUUGGGAGGCUGAGGCAGGAGAAUCGCUUGAACCCAGGAAGCUGAGGUUGCAGUGAGCUGAGAUCGCACCACUGUGCUGCAGCCUGCGCAACAUAGCGAGGCUCCAUC